CAUUUUUUAUUAAAAAUCUAAAUUAGAAAUCUAAAUACCAAAAAUUGAAUAUUAAAAGUGAAAAAAAGAAAAAGACAAAUCCUUAUUUCUCUUCAAAAUUUCCCCCAAUCUCUUCAAAAAUUUUCUCCAAUCCCGCGCUGAAUCCAAUCCUGUCUCCUCCCUGUCUCUCGACUCCCUCUCUCCCCUCUCAACUCCGUCGCCGGCGCCGCUGCCCUGCACCGGCCCGUCGCCGCCCAUCCUCGCUGCUGCCCCGCGCCCUAGUUCUUCUCUAUUCGAUUGGUUGAGCCCUAGUUCUUCUCUGUUCGAAACAACCCAGCCGUCGCCAUCUCAGGAAGACCGGCGAGCUACGCGACCUAGAGCCCGCCCAUCGUUGCUGGUGGUCCGAGGAUCGGCGAGCCGAUGGUGUUCUACGGCCGGUUCUCUUCUCAACUCCACAUAAUCGAGGCAGGAAAGGGGGAAAGCCCUAAUUCUCUAAUUUGCAAUCGAGAGCAGAUGAGGUUGAUAAUUGGGCGUCGAACAAGAGUUUUGCCCCUUCUCCCUCUCUCUACCUCCUCUCUGCGCCGCCUUUGUCUCCGGCGAGCAGCCGCUAGCCGCCACCUUCUCCAGCCUGGCGUCGCCCCCCAUCCCCAUCACCCCUCUCUCGCUUCCACCACCACGAGCAACCUCCAUCGUCGGCUCAGCGCCCACCACCGCUCCAAUCGCACCACCACUACCCCUGGCACCUGCCUCCAGCCUCUGACUCCGACAACAGUCGCCCUCAUUCUUCAGUGUUGUACAGGUCACUUAACAAGCCGAUGCAGCUGGAGCAUUGGAAAGAAGAGAGUGGAGACCCUUGUGCAGAACCACCCUGGACUGGAGUUCAAUGCAUCGGAUCAUCAAUUAUCGACCUUAAACUUCAUGGGCUGGGGCUGACAGGAAGCAUUGGAUUUGAGCUCUCAAAUCUCAAGAGUCUGAAGAAAUUGGACCUUAGUUCAAAUGACAUUGAGGGAUCAAUCCCCUACAGUUUACCUCCCAACCUCACGCACCUAAACUUCGCUGAGAACAAAUUUAGUCAGAGCUUUCCAUACUCGAUAGAGAAGAUGAAACACCUCCAACAUCUGUUUGAAAGUACACGGUGAUAGAGAGAUUGAUAAAGAGAUAAGCUUCAAGAAAUAACUUCCCAAUUCUGGUGCCCCCAGUUAGCUUCAGUGAACGAGAAUCGGGAAUAUGUUAUAGUAGGUGGUGGAAAUUCAGUUGGUUAUGCUGCUCGGACUUUUGUUGAGCAUGGAGUGGCUGAUGGGAAGCUCUGCAUUGUCUCCAAAGAGGUUUUUCAUUCUAUAAUAUGGCACAAAACUUUGUGUUGCUGCGCUGCUUUAGUUGUUCUUGUGGAGUAUCAGACAAUGAAAUUUUGUGUAUUUUGUGAGCCAUAAUUAGCUUGCCUUUUUCUCAGUUCGGAUGGUUUGUUUAUAGUAGUACUCUACUUGUUUCAGUCUGUUCUUCUUGUUUAUAGAUCCUAAAUUUGCUUCUUCUUUUGUCUGAUCUUCCUGGUCUCACUGAUACUGAGAAACCAAGGAUGAGAGGUCCAAAGAGGGCUUCAAAGAUCCGCAAGCUCUUCAACCUUAACAAGGAAGAUGAUGUUAGGAAGUAUGUCAACACAUACCGUCGCACAUUCACCACCAAAUCUGACAACAAAGUCAGCAAAGCUCCUAAGAGUGGAGAUGAGAAAGUGAUAGGAGGACUUUCAUGCUUGAUGUCGGAAAUUGGUCAAGCUGUGGGUAUCAUUUUACAAUUAUUUUGAGGUCAAAAGACAACCAGAGAAUCAUAGCAGGUUGACUAACUAGUUCUUGAGGAUUUGGUGCUAGAAAUAUUGUAUGAUAGAUUUUUAUUUUAGCUAUAAGGUAGUUGGUAUUUUCAAUUUUGAAUAGGAAUAUGCAAUGAUGAUGUAUACUUGAUAUUUGGUUCAUUUGUA